UAUCAGUCGACAGGUGAAUCGAUCCCGAAAUAACGAUAUCUAAAUCGUGGAACUGACAACCUCCGGCAACGAAACUGUUCCAGUAAUAUUCCCCUGAUUUCUUUACGUAACACCAGUGCGUGUACACAUCGGAUCACAAUAUUUGGGAAACGACGAAAUGGAAAUGUUAUUUUGGAACAAGAAGCUAUUUCACGUAUCCAUUAUUCGCAUCCCAUAAUAGUCCGAGCGGAAACGGAGUCAACUUACAGCUGCACCAUAGCGAGACGCAAGAAUAAAUAAAAACAGGGAAAGAGAAAAUGGAAAGCGGAAGCGUGUUCGGAGGUGUAUCAAAGAGAGGAAGAAAAGGUUUCAUAGACGAAAAGAAUGAACACGGACUGCUCACUAACGAACGACAUUCUCGACGCUGUUGUACAAAGUGUGCAAGAUGAGCUAGCCUCGAGGCGGAGGAUCAAAGGUCCAAGCGUUAGUGGCUCUCUGCGAGCUGACAAUAUGUAGCGAUGCGAUGCUGAACCAGCGUUUGAGCAAAUUAGCCAAAGUCCUUGGCUGAUCCAGAACUCCGCAAGGAGUUUCGGAACCCGAAAUACCUCCGCUUCUUUAUUCUCGGUGCAGGCUGCAGUAUAAGCAUCCUACAGACCGUGAUCAGACCUUGCCGCAAGGACCUGACUGCACUCUAACCGGAAGGACCUUCGGCUUUGAUGUCCACCUUACAGGGAAUCAGCUCGCCUUCGAAAAUCGUAUCCUUCGAGAUUGAGACACCCGCAAUUCACAAUGACUCGAUGCAUCUGUUAAUUAUUACAGGCGAAGUAUCCUUCAGCUAUAAAUAAGACACCCAGAAGUCUCGCCGGCAACUUUGGUAUAAUCGAGUAACAACGAGUGAUUAGAAAUUCCUGAGAACGUUCGUCCGUCCAAAGACCUUGCUGAAUGCUUCUCGUCUACCGAAGCUUCCAGUCGGCGUUGAAUUCGUUGGUUAAAUGCCUCGGCUUUGGAAAGUGCCGAGAGUCGGUGGCGUCAUUCCAACGAUCCUGCAGAACCAGGUAUGCGAUCGUAUAACGGACGCCAGAGACGUAAAACGAGGUAAAAAUUUUCACUACAGCGAGGAUUCAACCAGCCAAAAACUAUGACGGUAAAAAUAAUUCCUACCCUGUAUAUGCGACAAAAAAACUCUGAACUGUAGCGGACCGAGUCCUCCUCAUGGUGCAUGAAGGUACGGCUACUUGUUCGGUUAAUUCUGCUCCAGCCCUUGGAGUCUUGCGGCAUACAUCGAGGUUCUUUUUUCCGCAGGGUACAAUCCAUUCGGCCAGGCAUCAUCCGGAAUAAACUUUCCAGGAUAGGCAGUCGGGCAGGCAGGCGGCCGGUACCAGCGCCGAGAAUCGUAUUCCUAAAGCUUCGCGGAUCCCCAAAGCUCGAAAAGGAGUCGGCCCGGGGUUCGCGGGAGUUCAAUGUAUCUGGACCUGGACCUGGACCGGGACCGGGACCUCGGCCCACCCCCGCAGCUUCGAGAAGAGGCUUUGCUCCGCUGCAGAAUCUCAACUUCCCGCGAUGCGCCCUGCAAGUGUGCCCCUCCGUUUCUCCGUCCCUCCGUCUCUUCGUGCUCCACGUUUGAUUCUUUCGGGUUAACUGACCUUUGCCGCUUAUGGAAGAUCGCGCACACACGCAAACACACACACGAGCGCAUGCUCCACCUUGUCCGUGCCGGAGACUGGCUGGCACAUUGCUGGAUUCAACGGUAGGAGGAAUAUUGUUUGUGGAUUUACCAUUUGUGAGAUUUUCCCCCUGAACGUACCGGGGAUUUUCGUAUUUUACAAUAAAAUUCAGCGUGUAACUAUUGCUGCAGGUAUUACCGACGGACCGCGAAUUCCCCUCGGCCUUCUCCCUUCGGCCCCAACUCUGUAUAUCUAUACCUCGGUUAUACCUACUUCUGUUUUUGGCGAUUCAAAUAUAAUUUUCCUUACUCUCGUAGGGAUUUGGAAGCGCUUUUGGCGCAGAGUUAGGAGUCGGGAUUCCGUGCGUGGGUUUCUCCCUGCUGGCUAUUCUAUUAUAUAUACAUCCUGCACCUUUGAACUCGGAAAAAGCCGCUUUUCACUUUUCGUCAUCCCAAAUCCCGUUUCGCUGUUCAACCGCUUCCUUCCUCUUCACCCUCGAUUGCACGCCACGGGUUUCGGAACCGCACAAAGAGUUUUUCCACCUUUCCACUAUA